GGGAAUGUGGCUCAGUGGUGGAGUGCUUGCCUGACAUGCAUGAAGUCCUGGGAUCGAUUUCUUAGCACCA
rfam:Dipodomys ordii contig_18721, whole genome shotgun sequence.